GAUGAAGAACGUAGCGAAAUGCGAUAAGUAAUGUGAAUUGCAGAAUUCAGUGAAUCAUCGAGUCUUUGAACGCACAUUGCGCCCCCUGGUAUUCCGUGGGGCAUGCCUGUCCGAGCGUCAUUGCUGCCCUCAAGCACGGCUUGUGUGUUGGGCCCCGCCCCCCGGCUCCCGGGGGGCGGGCCCGAAAGGCAGCGGCGGCACCGCGUCCGGUCCUCGAGCGUAUGGGGCUUCGUCACCCGCUCCGUAGGCCCGGCCGGCGCCCGCCGGCGACCCCCCUCAAUCUUUUCAGGUUGACCUCGGAUCAGGUAGGGAUACCCGCUGAACUUAAGCAUAUCAAUAAGCGGAGGA
rnacentral:misc_RNA from 1 species